GCGCCGCCGAUUGGACAGCCAAGGCGGACUAUGUCAAUUUCAGGGGGCCGGGUUUCCAUUUAAAGGGAAACCAAAAGAAGAACCGAGCAGGUGGUAUGGAUCACAUUUGAUCAAAUCAGGGAAAAGGAUGAAAGAGGAGCUUCAAGGAGCCUGGUGGAGCAGUGGACUAAAGCGCUGUUAAAUAGCACUUAUCUGCCAGCUGCCUGCAAUUACUGCAAGUUCGAAUCUCACCAGGCUCAAGGUUGACUCAGCCUUCCAUCCUUCUGAGCAUGGCUGGCACAAUCUCUUUCUAUACAAUUGAUGAUCAAGGUCCAGUCAUGGGGAUUGACUUCCAGGCAGUUCCUGACAACCUUUAAGCUUGGCUUAUACAUUGUGAAAUGGAGAAGAAGGGAGAAGAUGGAGAAGGAGCAUCUCAUUCCAGCUGUAAUUCUCUGACUUGCAUAUCUGGAGAAAACAAGCAUGCUUUUUUGGCAAUAACAGAGAGCAUACAUCCUCUCUGCCAUCUGGAAGAUGAGAUUUUAUUUCUCUACUCUUGUCAUUGCCAGCACCAUCAUUAGAUCUUUACAGGAAGAGAGACAGAUGGAAAAUGAAGAGAUGGGGCUUAAGUAAACAGCAUUGCCAGAUAGAUCUCUUCAAUUCUAUUCCGAGAACUCUGUGUCAAAUAGUUCAUAUGCAGCCUGAUCCUUGACAGAUUACUCAGUGCUGCCUUCUUCCUCCCUGCCCUUUUGUUGCUCUAACUGGCUGGCAUUCAGAGAUGAGAGUGAGAUCAGCUAUCCUGACAAGAAGAACAGAGUUACUUUGAACUUCCUGAGUAUUGGUUGCAUUCCCCUUAUUGCUGCAUGUGAUAUAAUCAUAAAAACACUCUGUGAAUGAGUUUUCCUUUUCCUUUCCUGUACCCUUUCCUUCUGCGUCAAGACUUUGUGAAUUGUAAGCCUGAAGUAGGAGCGGGCUCUGCUCUGCCAAUCUACAGGAAGAGAGAAAGGAAAGGAGAUGCGGAUCCAUGCCAAUGGGUUUGUGCUGCUCAUGGACUCCAGCUGAGAAUGAAUAGCAUCUGAUUUCUCGCUACUCCUGCAUUUUCUAUCACAGCUGAAGCAGUUGCAUCCUGCUUCCACAGCAAUGACUCAGCCUUUGUGAGUCAUGGGCUGUAUCUCUGCCACAGAGGAUUGUUCCCAAUCUGGAAAUGAGAAUGCAGCAAUCACAUCUUGUCCUGGGAAUUGCAGAUGCUGAAAGUCCUAAACUAAAGAGAAGCAAGGGAACUGGAAGUGAACUCUGCUGUGACUCUUUUCCAGAAAUUUACUAACAGAAAUGCGAGGCUGCGUUCCAAACAUGUUUAUUUAAAUAGGCUAAAAUUAACUACUACGUUUUUUAAGAUGGUGUGAUGAAAAUUUCUCAGGAAAGAGGGAUAUGAUCCGGUCUGGUUCCAUCUUUUAUGGAUAGGAAUGGAAAUGUGGUUGUGAUGCCAAGAAAGCUUUUCUUCCUCCUACUUUCAGUAAUAGCACUAACAGAAAUACAUCUACUCGAAAUAGCAAAAAGGAAGCUGCACCUUCCUGUGUAAGUGCUUACUCAGAUCAAUUGAAUUCAUUGGGUAAUACACACAGACUUACCUCCUCUUGAAGGAUUUUGAAUUAAAUAAGUGUUGAGAUACUUAUGAACUGCUAAUCAAUGAGAUAAACUUGAGUAAGUCAACUGAUCUGAAAUCAGUGCCAGUUAAAGGCAAAGGGAAAAUGCACUUAUUUAGAUGAGCAGUUAGGUCUCACUGGGUUGGCACGUUGCAUAAAGCGAUGUCUUAUCUGCCAUAAUUUGUUGAAUAAACUACAACUGAA